rnacentral:rRNA from 1 species
UACGUAGGGCGCAAGCGUUGUCCGGAAUUAUUGGGCGUAAAGAGCUCGUAGGCGGUUUGUUACGUCCGCUGUGAAAACCCAGGGCUUAACCCUGGGCUUGCAGUGGAUACGGGCAGACUAGAGGCAGGUAGGGGAGAAUGGAAUUCCCGGUGUAGCGGUGAAAUGCGCAGAUAUCGGGAAGAACACCCGUGGCGAAGGCGGCUCUCUGGGACGGUACUGACGCUGAGACGCGAAAGCGUGGGGAGCGAACAGG